rnacentral:piRNA from 1 species
AAGUCCACCGAGCUGCUGAUCCGC